rnacentral:rRNA from 1 species
CCUACGUGAGGCAGCAGUGAGGAAUAUUGGUCAAUGGGCGCGAGCCUGAACCAGCCAAGUAGCGUGAAGGAUGACUGCCCUACGGGUUGUAAACUUCUUUUAUAAAGGAAUACAGUGAGGCACGUGUGCCUUUUUGUAUGUACUUUAUGAAUAAGGAUCGGCUAACUCCGUGCCAGCAGCCGCGGUAAUACGGAGGAUCCGAGCGUUAUCCGGAUUUAUUGGGUUUAAAGGGAGCGUAGAUGGGUUGUUAAGUCAGUUGUGAAAGUUUGCGGCUCAACCGUAAAAUUGCAAUUGAUACUGGCAGUCUUGAGUACAGUUGAGGUAGGCGGAAUUCGUGGUGUAGCGGUGAAAUGCUUAGAUAUCACGAAGAACUCCGAUUGCGAAGGCAGCUUACUAAACUGCCACUGACAUUGAUGCUCGAAAGUGUGGGUAUCAAACAGGAUUAGAUACCCUUGUAGUC